rnacentral:lncRNA from 1 species
AGUGCCUAGAGGUGCUCUGUGUGAAGCUGUCUGUUUACCUCCGUGUUCUCCUCUCCAUCAAUAGCACAUCGACAAGACCGAGAGGCCGGACACACACGCAGAGGGACGGACGCAAGCCUUUUGUCUUCCUGGAGACGUCCUUCGACACCAGGAAACAGAACAUGUCAGAGGUGGAGGAACUGAAGGACCAGUAACGACGGCUCGGCUUUGCAGAGAGACGCAGUAAGUACAGAAAGUUAUUGGAGAUGAUUAAUGUGUUCUCACUUUAUGGUGUCUUGUGGGUAACAGGGAUGCUGAGGCUGUGAUUGGUUGGAUGUAUUCAAAACCUAGAAGUAAUGAAUUCAAAUGAAUUCAAAUGUGAUU